rnacentral:rRNA from 1 species
UUGGAGGCUUGAAUGAAAGGUUUGACGGAGGAAAAACUGUCUAAGUAGUUGAAGUUGAAUUUAACAUUUGUGUGAAAAGGCAUUAAUGGGUUAGAGGGACGAUAAGACCCUAUAAAACUUUACAUAUAAUAUUUUUUAGUUAAAUUGAUGUAUUAAUUAUUAAAUGGUUGAAUAUGUUUUGCUGGGGCGGCAGAAAUAUAAUAUUAACUGUUUUAAAUAUAAAAUAUUUAUUAAUAGAUAAUAUUCCUUGAUUCAAGAGUUAAGAUUAAGUUACUUUAGGGAUAACAGCAUAAUUUUUUCUGAGAGUUCUUAUCGAAGAUAAUAGUUGUGACCUCGAUGUUGAAUUAAAUUUUCUUUUAGGUGCAGGAGUUUAAAGGGAAGGCCUGUUCGGCCUAUAAAUAUUUACAUGAUUUGAGUUCAAACCGGU